rnacentral:rRNA from 1 species
GACGAACGCUGGCGGCGUGCCUAAUACAUGCAAGUCGAGCGCAGGAAGCAAAACAAUCCUUUCGGGUGCGUUUUGUGGAAUGAGCGGCGGACGGGUGAGUAACACGUGGGCAACCUGCCUGUAAGACGGGGAUAACUUCGGGAAACCGGGCUAAUACCGGGUAAUCUUUUGCAUCGCAUGAUGCAAGGGGUAAAAGAUGGUUCUGCCAUCGCUUACAGAUGGGCCCGCGGUGUAUUAGCUAGUUGGUGAGGUAAUGGCUCACCAAGGCGACAAUACAUAGCCGACCUGAGAGGGUGAUCGGCCACACUGGGACUGAGACACGGCCCAG